CAGCAGCCACGGGAAUACGGAGGGGGCUAGCGUUGUUCGGAAUUACUGGGCGUAAAGCGCACGUAGGCGGCUUGGUAAGUUAGAGGUGAAAGCCCGGAGCUCAACUCCGGAAUUGCCUUUAAGACUGCCGAGCUAGCAGGUGAGAGAGGUAAGUGGAAUUCCGAGUGUAGAGGUGAAAUUCGUAGAUAUUCGGAAGAACACCAGUGGCGAAGGCGGCUUACUGGCUCAUACUGGACGCUGAGGUGCGAAAGCGUGGGGAGCAAACAGGAUUAGAUACCCCAGUAGUCCCUGUCUCUUAUAC
rnacentral:rRNA from 1 species